GAAAUGCGAUAAUUAAUGUGAAUUGCAGAAUUGUGAAUCAUCGAGUCUUUGAACGCACAUUGCGCCCCCUGGUAUUCCGGGGGGCAUGCCUGUCCGAGCGUCAUUGCUGCCCUCAAGCACGGCUUGUGUGUUGGGCUUCCGUCCCUGGCAACGGGGACGGGCCCAAAAGGCAGUGGCGGCACCAUGUCUGGUCCUCGAGCGUAUGGGGACUCUCCGUCACACGUCUCGCGGCGCGGACCGACGUCUGCCUAUUGAUCAAUCUUUUCUCGGUUGACCUCGGAUCAGGUAGGGAUACCCGCUGAACUUAAGC
rnacentral:misc_RNA from 1 species